UGGGGGAUAUUGCACAAUGGGCGAAAGCCUGAUGCAGCGACGCCGCGUGGGGGAUGAAGGCCUUCGGGUUGUAAACUUCUUUUGCUCUGAACAAGGCAUGCCUUUGGGGUGUGUUGAGUGUAGGGGUUGAUUAGCGCCGGCUAACUACGUGCCAGCAGCCGCGGUAAUACGUAGGGCGCGAGCGUUGUCCGGAAUUAUUGGGCGUAAAGGGCUUGUAGGUGGCUGGUUGCGUCUGUCGUGAAAGCUCAUGGCUUAACUGUGGGUUUGCGGUGGGUACGGGCUGGCUUGAGUGCAGUAGGGGAGGCUGGAAUUCCUGGUGUAGCGGUGGAAUGCGCAGAUAUCAGGAGGAAUACCGGUGGCGAAGGCGGGUCUCUGGGCUGCUACUGACGCUGAGGAGCGAAAGCGUGGGGAGCGAACAGG
rnacentral:rRNA from 1 species